AAGGGUUUAUGACCAGACUUUUUCUAGGGGGAUCAUCCGGUGUUCUCACCGGUGCACUUCCCCUAGUUGAGGCCAGCAUCGGUUUCCGCCGGGGGAUAAAAGCUUCGGGAAUGUGGCUCCUUCGGGAGUGUUAUAGCCCGCUGCAUAAUACCCUGGCGGGGACCGAGGUUCGCGCAUUCGCAAGGAUGCUGGCGUAAUGGUUAUUAA
rnacentral:rRNA from 1 species